rnacentral:rRNA from 1 species
CACGUAGUUAGCCGGGGCUUCUUGGUCAGGUACUGUCAUUUUCUUCCCUGCUGAUAGAACUUUACAUACCGAAAUAUUUCUUCGUUCACGCGGCGUCGCUGCAUCAGGGUUCCCCCCAUUGUGCAAUAUCCCCCACUGCUGCCUCCCGCAGGAGUCUGGGCCGUGUCUCAGUCCCAAUGUGGCCGGCCGCCCUCUCAGGCCGGCUACUGAUCGCAGCCUUGGUGGGCCGUUACCCCGCCAACAAGCUAAUCAGACGCGGGCCCAUCCCGUACUGCCGGAGCUUUCCCCGCAGGGCCAUGCGGCCCCGCGGGAAUAUGCGGUAUUAGCAGCCGUUUCCGGCUGUUGUCCCCCGGUACGGGGCAGGUUGCCCACGCGUUGCUCACCCGUCCGCCACUCAGUCCCCCGCGGCUUUCCCCCGGAGGGUCCGCCGCAGGCGCUUCGUUCGACUUGCAUGUGUUAGGCACGCCGCCAGCGUUCAUCCUGAGCCAGGAUCAAACUCU